CGCCAGAGGUGGCAGAGCCGAGGCAAGUCAACCCCGCCAGGUCCGAAAGGAAGCAACGGUACCUUGACCAACGUUGUUGCCGCCUCUGGUCUUU
rnacentral:SRP_RNA from 1 species